UGGGGAAUAUUGGGCAAUGGGGGAAACCCUGACCCAGCGACGCCGCGUGGGUGAUGAAGGCCUUCGGGUCGUAAAGCCCUGUCGGGAGGAAAGAACGAUCCCGUGGCACAUACCCACAGGAUGUGACGGUACCUCCGAAGGAAGCACCGGCCAAUUCCGUGCCAGCAGCCGCGGUAAGACGGAAGGUGCAAGCGUUGCUCGGAAUCACUGGGCGUAAAGGGUGCGUAGGCGGCCUCUUAAGUCUGGCGUGAAAGCCCAGGGCUUAGCCCUGGAAGUGCUCUAGAAACUGAGAGGCUAGAGUGCCGGAGGGGAGAGUGGAAUUCCCGGUGUAGCGGUGAAAUGCGUAGAUAUCGGGAGGAAUACCGGUGGCGAAAGCGACUCUCUGGACGGCAACUGACGCUGAGGCACGAAAGCGUGGGGAGCAAACAGGAUUAGAUACCCCCGUAGUCC
rnacentral:rRNA from 1 species